UCCCCUGCCCCGUGUGGUAGCUCAUCCACAGUUGUUUAAUGAAACAAGGGAGAACACUGACUCUCGGGGCCAGGACAGGAUUCAAAAACCUGCCUUUGGUUAUUGUUCAUUUACUUGUUUGGUUUGGGUUUGUUGUUGUCUUCUUUAGGUCAUGGUUUAAUUGUCCUUCAGUUGUUAAUAUUCUGUUCAUUGCCUCAUGUCCACUCAUCUCUUUGUCUGUCUGUCUGUCUGUCUGUCUGUCUCUCUCUCUCUCUCUCUCUCUCUCUCUCUGUGUGUACAUGUGUGUGUUAUAUACUAGUGUUUUAUGCAUAUGUGUGGUGGCCCGAGGUCAAAAUUGGGAGUCAUUCCCUAGGAGCCAUCUGCCUUGUGUCCUUGAGACAGGGUCUCUGAUGGGACCUCUUAUUAGGCAGGCUAGCCAGUGAAUCCCAGGGACUACUUUGUCUUUGCCUCCUCGGUGCUGGAAUUCUAAGGCCCUGCUUCUUCUGUGAGUGCUGAGGAGCACAAUCAGGCCCUCAUGCUUGUGCAACAAGCAUUUUACAACUAAGCCGGCUCUCCAGCCACUAGCACUCUCUUAUUAUGAAAGACCCUUCGUUUGUGCAGGGGAUAGGGUACCACAUCUAGUCUUCCUGCUCUAACCCAAUGGCCACAGUGAAGGCUGCUGAUGUAUUGCAGUUGAAUCCUGUGACAAGAUCACAAGGGACACAUCGUCUGUGAGCACAGAAUGACUAAUGUGCAUGUCAAAGGACUGGUUUGCCACUUAGGUCUAGUGACAAAAUAUGAAAUGCCUCCGCAUGGUAGCCCCAAAGGUUUGACAUGCCUCUUCCUCACUUAUUGAUCUCCUUGGCCCAACUUAACAUUCUCCAAAGAGGAGCCUUUGCCCCUACAUGUCCUCCUCCCGAUGUCUCAAGCUCCUGGUUUAAUUAAAUGAGCUGUCUUAAGGCAUCGCCUUCGGGUGUGGCCAGUUACCUGCUGGAUGGACCCAAGAGACUUUUUUGUGAGUAUGGAGAUUAUGCAUUGUGGCAAGCAUAGGGGAGAAGUUAGAAAGCUAUUGAAAGUUCUAGGAGCCUCUGGUCAGAUCUGGUCAUCACAGUGCCCCCCACAUUCCUCGAUACCCUG
rnacentral:lncRNA from 1 species